UACGUAGGGAGCUAGCGUUGUUCGGAAUUACUGGGCGUAAAGCGCCACGUAGGCGGCUUUGUAAGUUAGAGGUGAAAGCCCGGGGCUCAACCCCGGAAUUGCCUUUAAGACUGCAUCGCUUGAAUCCGGGAGAGGUGAGUGGAAUUCCGAGUGUAGAGGUGAAAUUCGUAGAUAUUCGGAAGAACACCAGUGGCGAAGGCGGCUCACUGGACCGGUAUUGACGCUGAGGUGCGAAAGCGUGGGGAGCAAACAGG
rnacentral:rRNA from 1 species